rnacentral:rRNA from 1 species
GAGUUUGAUCUUGGCUCAGGAUGAACGCUAGCGGCAGGCUUAAUACAUGCAAGUCGUGGGGCAGCAUGGUGUAGCAAUACACUGAUGGCGACCGGCAAACGGGUGCGGAACACGUACGCAACCUUCCUUUAAGUGGUGAAUAGCUUUCGGAAACGAAAAUUAAUACACCGUAACAUUAUGAAGUGGCAUCAUUUUAUAAUUAUAGCUCCGGCGCUUAAAGAUGGGCGUGCGUCUGAUUAGGUAGUUGGCGGGGUAACGGCCCACCAAGCCUGCGAUCAGUAACUGGUGUGAGAGCACGACCAGUCACACGGGCACUGAGACACGGGCCCGACUCCUACGGGAGGCAGCAGUAAGGAAUAUUGGUCAAUGGACGCAAGUCUGAACCAGCCAUGCCGCGUGGAGGAUGAAGGUCCUCUGGAUUGUAAACUUCUUUUAUUUGGGAAGAAACCCCACGAUUUUCUAUUGUGGUUUGACGGUACCAGAUGAAUAAGCACCGGCUAACUCCGUGCCAGCCGCCGCU